CAGGAAAUAGUUUAACAAAAGAAUUCUGGCUUUGGGUGUCAGAGGUAGGAGUUAAAGUCUCUUUUUCCUGG
rnacentral:tRNA from 1 species